rnacentral:rRNA from 1 species
AUGAAUGGCAGGGUGACCCUGGAUCAGGGUUGGGCCACCUACACAGCCGUUCAUUGGAUCAAGAUUGGCUACAUGGUGACGUUCAAGCUCCUCACUCCCGACACCCUCAAGGUCAUCAUCUUCGAUGACGAUGGCAUUGAGGUCGUCAACAAGUGCGGGAAGCACGACGAAGCCUUCACCGCCAAGGAGUAG